GCUUUUGUGUUUAUAUUCUUUAUAUGUAAGAUCAACUGUACUCAACCCAAUUAGCAUUCUGCUUUCACAGUAAUCAACUAAAUACCUACAGGAGCCUACAAGCAGAACAUGGGUCCAAACACCCUGUCUGUCUCAGCAACUGGUACCAAUUUCUAAUCCAGGAGAAAGCGGCAGGUUGCAAUACACAGCAGUUUCACCUGAUCUCAGAGAAGUAACCAAUGAUCUCUCGACAGUAACUAAUUAAAAGGGAAGAGAGGCCUUUCCUGGUUUCUCCUUCUCCGUGACAUCCCAACCCCACAAAGACGUAAGAAAACGCAAAGAUAUUGCCGUCUGCCUUCCCACACCCAAAAGACCUGCUCUGCGCUGGGUCCUCGUCGCUGGGCUCCUCGAUCACGAGUCGAAGGGAGUAAACAGACCACAAGAAUCAUCCUAUAAUUUCUAUAUCCAGAAGGACAGAGAGCAAGUUUCAAUUCCUUCAGGAAAGCUAAAAAGAUCAAGUGCUGCAAGAGUCCCAAACAAAGUACCCCAGAAAUUCUUAACACUAGAUAGAUGGAAAACCAAUGAAAUGAUGCAAUGGAUUUAAAAAAAUCACCUUUACUCCUGAAACAAUCACACCAUCAGCAGACUUAACCAUGUUUUUAAAGAAGUCUUCAAGUUUCUCUU